UUAGUCUUCGGGAACCCUAGCCUACGGUGUCUUUCUCCUCUCCUCAUCACGCUAUCUCUUCACGUUCCCUCUCCUCACAAAAUCUCCUCUUCCUGAUCUCUUCACACAAUCUCCUCCACUCACACGUUUUUGCCUACCACCCCUUUGCACGAACCCCUCUCCUCAAAACUCCUCUCUGCCUAAACCUCUCUCGCUGAACAUCUCCGACGAACCCCUCUCCUGGAACUUCUCCUUCGAACUCCUCUCAGACUAACCCUCUCGUGGCUCAUCCUUUGCUCCUGUCGACUCGUCUCUCACUCUCUUGGCUGUUUCCUCGGUGAUCAAGCAAGAGGCGGCAUGGGAUUCUUUAGGAGCCUCACCCGACUGCCCGAAUCAACUGGGUUCAGCUUCAGUUCCACAUCCAAGCAGGUCACUGAGGGCGUCGACGCUUCCAAGCAGACCGUCAUCGUCACCGAUCUGAUUUGUUUCCGACUUGAUUUUGGUGCCUAAUUCAUCCAAACUCCCACUCUUUCCUCGCUGCUCGUUUGGUGAUGGCUCCUUUUUAUAUUGAAAAAACUUUUAAAAUGUUAAUUCUUAUUUUAAUUUACUAAUGUUGUUUGCUGAUCGCUAUACUAAUAUUAUGUCAAUGAAUGAGAAUCUCUCUUCUAGAUUUUGCUGAUCGCCUACACCAAAAUUCUGGAUUCUUGCAUUCAUUUCAAAUUGCUCGAAGACGGCAAAGAGAUCCAUCGCCAGAUCAUCAGUCACAGGUAUUUCGCCGGAAACUAUUCUCUUCUCGAAAAGAUUGUUCAGAUGUACAUAUCAUGCGGCGAGAUUGAGUCUGCCUGUCUCGCGUUCGACGAGUUACUGCAACCAAGUGUCUUCCUGUGGAACGCCAUGAUCAGGGCUUACGCUUGGAAUGGGCCCUUUGGUCGUGCCGUUGAGCUAUACCAGAGAAUGCUCGAUACAGGAAUCGAGCCGAACAAGUUCACAUUUCCGUUUGUCUUGAAGGCUUGUUUAGCUCUGGAGGCGCUUGCGGAUGGAAUUCUGAUACACGAGCACGCCAAGAAGGCAGGGCUGGAACUGGAUGUGUUUGUGUCUACUGCUUUGCUCGACAUGUAUUUGAAAUGUGGCUGCUUAGAGGAUGCACACGAGGUGUUUUGCAGAAUGCCCCAAAAAGAUGUUGUUGCAUGGAACGCUUUGGUCUCUGGUUACGCACUGAAUGGGAGGUACCAAGGAGCACAUGUCAUCAUUGGAGCAAGGAACAUGGAAGCUGCCAAUGUGGUAAAGGAGAAUAUCCAACAGAGUAUUCCAUCUGCCAAAGUUGAUGUCUCAGAGCUUGAACUUAGCUCACAAAAGUCUGCCCGAGCCUUCGCAGACAGAUUCAUUGAAAGGAACCUACCCCUCAACGUCUUGAUAAACAAUGCUGGCGUGAUGAACUGUCCUUAUAAACUCUCAGAAGAUGGUAUAGAGAUGCAAUUUGCUACAAAUCAUCUGGGUCACUUUUUGUUGACAAAUCUUCUACUUGAGAAAAUGAAAAAUAUAGCAAAGGAGUCAAGAAUCGAAGGGCGUAUUAUGAAUCUAUCAUCUGUAGCUCACAUUGGGAUUUGAAAAUGAUUAUCCCAUAUGUGACUCGACUGGACAAAAAUAGCAAAAUCGAGCACUUGAAUAAAAGAUCUAGUGUUUUGGCAGAUAAGCUGAGUCAAGCAUCAAGAAAUCAACUAAUUUUAGUGCCACAUAAUGUUGAUUAUCAUUGGAUUCUCACUAUCAUUGAUCCAUAUAAGGAGACAGUUUAUUUGUUGGAUUCGCUUAGUCAUCGCAUUCGUGACGAGGACUGGAAAUACGUAGUGGAUAUAAAAGGGAGAAAGCUGGGUUUGCAAGCUAAGUCUAUGAAAUUCUGUAUGUAGAAAAAGGACCAGUACGUGAAGAUUGUUGCACAUCCUGAUCACUUGAUCUAUUCAGAAAAGGACAAGUUAAUUUGCAUGGUUGUUGUCUGAUAAACUUAAUUUUGUGGUCUCAUCUUUUGUGAUGGUCAUGAACUUGUGGUAAUGUUGCGAUAGCUUGUAGUAAUUGUAGAAGUUUAUAAACUUAAGUGAAUGUACAUAUAUAUUGUACCAUUUUUUGGUUGAGACAAGAUGUAUAAAAGACAACUUAAUGUAUAUAUGUUGACAACGGUUUUUGCUAAUGUA